rnacentral:piRNA from 1 species
CAGCUGUCUGUGAGAUGUGUGGUAUC